GACCAAAAAGGGGGACCUUCGGGCCUCUUGCCAUCGGAUGUGCCCAGAUGGGAUUAGCUAGUAGGUGGGGUAACGGCUCACCUAGGCGACGAUCCCUAGCUGGUCUGAGAGGAUGACCAGCCACACUGGAACUGAGACACGGUCCAGACUCCUACGGGAGGCAGCAGUGGGGAAUAUUGCACAAUGGGCGCAAGCCUGAUGCAGCCAUGCCGCGUGUAUGAAGAAGGCCUUCGGGUUGUAAAGUACUUUCAGCGGGGAGGAAGGGAGUAAAGUUAAUACCUUUGCUCAUUGACGUUACCCGCAGAAGAAGCACCGGCUAACUCCGUGCCAGCAGCCGCGGUAAUACGGAGGGUGCAAGCGUUAAUCGGAAUUACUGGGCGUAAAGCGCACGCAGGCGGUUUGUUAAGUCAGAUGUGAAAUCCCCGGGCUCAACCUGGGAACUGCAUCUGAUACUGGCAAGCUUGAGUCUCGUAGAGGGGGGUAGAAUUCCAGGUGUAGCGGUGAAAUGCGUA
rnacentral:rRNA from 1 species